rnacentral:lncRNA from 1 species
AGAAAACUGGCAUCUCUCUUCUCCACCUUCAUACAGAUAGUGGUGUUUAUGCUCCAGGCAUGCUUUUAAACACACUAAGUCAGUCCUUUAUUGAAGCAGCUGUGAGAAUGCUCCUUGUAGACCUCUACAGAAAAUGUAAUUGGCCUAGAGCCCCAGCUGCUGCACUCUGAAAUCCAUCACCGUAUGUAUAGUGAGAUCAUACUUCCUGAGCUGUUGCCAGUGGAUGACUGAAGUGAUAGGGAUACUAAGGCAGGCCUACUCCUGGGAGACCUGGGACUUCUCUAAUAGGCAAUUUUGGAUUCAGAGAUACCCCAAAGGCCUUGUUCGACAUUCCUUAGGUCACCUAUCUGUGAUGCCUCCACCCAAUUUGCCUGCCCGUGGUGCGCCACGGUCUGUCAGCUCCCCUGCCGCCCCUAGAUUCCUGCGCCUUUUCUCUAACAGGUGAUUACUCUAAUAUAACCCAGUCACAUUGAAUCCUGGCUUGUAGUCUGCUUCUUAAAGGACCCAAAUUAACCCACCCCUUCACCAGAUUUAUUUGACUGGGUCUGCAUGUUUGUAGCCUCCUGUAUAUUUGAGGCCCUUACUGUGACUACUCACUGGCAUUUUCACUUGUGAAUUCCUUCUGACGUCUUUACCCCACGACACUUGAGUGCUUUCUGCAUGACUGUACUGUGAAGUAGUUGGCCACUGGUAAACCAUCUCUAGCUUCACAUUAACAGACCCAGAGAUGCUCUAUCUGCCUCUAAAACACACAGUGGCUGUCCCAUGAGCACUCACUUCUCCGAAUGUAUGCCUCCAGCAGUGCAGGGCAUUAUGGCCCUUCUGAAUAAGUCCAGCAAUUGCCUAUACAGGCUUUAGGAGCCUGAUCUUGAGUGCUGUGGAUCUGAGAAGACUAUUCCAAUCCUAAGCAGUUCCAAGAGGAUUUUCCCUGACCCUCCAGCCCUCUUCUGCCACAAAAUGGCUCUCUAUUCAUUCUAAAAUGGACCAGAAAGCAGAAGGAUUGCCCUUGUUUGAAAAAUAAUGCCCUUGUUUGAGGAGUCCAGGCCAAGUAACUUCAUGCAGAAGGGAAGCUUCACCAUUUGGACAGGAGCUGAGCAGAUGUGACCUCAAUGUCUGCACUGCAUUAAAGCUUCGGUGUAAAUCUGAUGACCUCAUCUCCCCACAGCCUGUGAUUAAUUCUAUUUAUAAAAUACAGCUCAGCAGAUCAAAGUUAAUCCUUUCCAUGCCAAGUGGGGAGUACACAGUGAUGGGUCACUCUGUCAAAGGGUAGGAAACUAAAUCAGGCUGCUGUUCUUCAUCACGGAGUAGGAUACAGGGCUUUUACCUUCAAGAGGAAAGGUUUAAUGACUUUGAAGAACUUGUAAUGCCCAUUUCUUGAUACCCUUAAAUUCUAUUUCAAUUUUUUACUAUCUUCAAAAAAUAUAAAAUUCCUCAAAUAUCAGACUCAUAUUUUUAUUUGUUGCACCAUACAGCUUCCAAUACCUCACCAAUACACACACACACACACACACACACACACACACACGUUUGUAGAUCCCAUGCCUUUGAAAGAACUCUACGAAAAGGUAUGCCACUUAUCCAGCCAGAGGAUCUUGGGUAAGUUACUUAGCCUCCCUUUGUCUCAGUUUCUUCAUCUUUAAAAUGGAGUUAUAGUAGUCCCUGACUCACAGGGUUACUGAGAAGAUCAAAUAAGAUAAUACGUAAAGAACUCAGAACACCGCCUGGACCUUGGUAAAUCUACAUGUGACAGCCGUAGCCUGACCCCACGCCAAGCUCAGGAGCAUGACAUGUACCACAGAGUGUUCCUCUGAACUAGUUCGCAUUUUUAACUGACAUGGAGAUCCAAAAAACCAGUCCUCUUAUAUCCUCAUGUGAGUUAAAAAUCCCUAACACUUUGGAACACAUUCCCCCACCUUGCCCACCAACCCCAUGACAGAGGUAAACUGCCAUUCGGCUUGGGGCAAAAAUGCCAUAUUCCCACUGUGUAUACAUUGUGAGAGGAAAAAUAGCAAGUUCAAACCUUUUCUGCCCCUUAGCAUGGUUCUGUUUGACUAGUCCCCCUAAUUUUCAUUUACAGUUAGGUCUCAGUAUGGUUAAUAUCAGGUCUCUGUAGCAUUAGGCCUCUGCAAUGUUAAUACUGUUUAACGAAAUGAUUCUCAUGAGUACCUUGCAAACUGAAUGCUGAUUUGAGGAUUCUAAUUUCCCAGUGUGUAAAUGAGGUCAUAUUAACAGAAAUAGCUCAAAUUUCACUGGGUCAUGAUUCUACUUGUCCUGAACACUCUCAGCUCCUUACCACCUCCCAUGACCAAGGACUCCAAAAAUCUACAGUGGGUAAGUCACAUGUGCUCUCAGUAAAUCUGUCCCUCUGGGCACUAAACCUCCACUGCAAGGUUCCUCUAGAGUUCCCACCAUGAUUUUCCCCAGUGCUCUGCCCAUGCUCUGGGCCUUUGCUGUGGCCCAGAUGUUUUAAUUCUUUUUAAAGACUAAAAUAGUACUUUUAAUUUCACUCACAGUGCUUGUGCUGUGUCAGGAUUCAGACAUGAGUCCAGUGAGGGGUCAGGGCAGAACCAGAAUCCAAAGGAUAGGCAUGAUUGUGUAGGCACAAAUGCCUCACUUCUGCAGUGACUGAGGUUUUCAUAUUGAGUCUGAGAUGGAUAUUUCCUGGGGGCAACUCAGUUUUCAUGCUAAUGCCUGGCUGGUGUUGAAUUCAGCUUUGUAUCCACAAACUAAAUCUGAUUUAAGCCAGAAUCCUGAAGCUGCAAGAGCAAGAAUCAAUGACCAACACACUGGUCCAUAAACAGAAUCAGGUGUAUCCUUUUCCUUAAGGAGGGAGUUACUAAAUGCUUAAGAGUUAACCAAAGAAUAUAGCACUUUGUAGAAAUCCUAAUCAAAGCCUUUGGCUCAACAAAGCCUUGCCUGCUGCUUGUUAUGAAACCAUCUCAUCCCCUCCACUAGAAAGAACCAAGCAACGUGUAAAACUUUUACUUCCCCUCAUAAAAGUGUAUAACAACAUUCAACCACUUUUACACCUUUUCUUCCUAAUACACGAUAUCCAAAAUGAGUUCAUAGGCAGAAAAAUGCCAUGAGGGGAGUUUGGCUUUUUUUUUACCGGCAAGCUUUUUGGAUGUGACAGCCUAGAGCCUUUCUCACUACCACCAACAGAUGGGACACAAUAUCCACCAAUGAGCCAUUAUGGUCUUUGGUUGUUAUUUUUCCUGUGGUUCAGCUGGAACACAUUCAGAAAAAUAAUACACAUUUCUGGGGCAGGUUUGCAUUAUAAUUUUGGAGUGUAAUCCAGACUUUCCCUUGUCUAUUUCCUACUGCAGCAAAAAUGGAGCCUCUCUCUCUAGUUCCAUUUGGACUUCACUGGGAGGAUGCAACUUGGCAAAACACAGCGAUACUGGGCUGCAAAUGGUUUGUAAAAACAUCAAUGGUCCCACAUGGGAGUCAGUACAUCUACCAUUCGAACUAGAUUGCAUUGGCUCUGUUGGGAGUAAUAUGGGUGCAUGUAUGCAGUUAUCACUAAAAGGCUUUUCAUACUGUGACAAUCAGAUCCUCUGGUGCUCAGAUAUUGCAUUCAUUUUCUAACUCAUUCAUCAUGUGAAUGGAAUGAGGAAAUAAUGGGAUCUGUUCAUCAUACUUAUCCAUCAUUUAGUGAGGACACCACGUUCAGCUUUUUUGGAUGAAAAAAGAAAGAUAAGUAAGAGGCUUAGCACUCCUAACAUCUGACAGUCCUAGCACCUCGUGAGGACAAACGUCACUCAGGAACCAUAUCACAACAGACAAGUCCUUGAGAAAGAGGGAAGAUGAUGAAUCUAGCAGAGCCCACCAGGCAAUUCUGGGCAGGCACACCUUCAAAACCCUCCUUCUUAUUUUACCACAUUCUCGAUAAAUCUUUUAGUUACAUUAAAAUAUUCUCAACUAAAUUAGAAUAAAAUUGUAUAUCUUUUGGCCUUGUAAAUCCACUUUCAAGAAUUUAUUCUUAAAAAAUCAGAAAUGUACAUAAAUACAAAUGUUCAAGAAUGUUCAUUCCUGUGAUAUUUUAAAUAGUGAAAAAUUGGAAAUGACCUAAAUUUCCAGGAAGUUUAGAUUACUUAAAUAGAUUAUAAUAGAGCAUGUAUCAUAAACAAUAUUUGUG